AUAAGAAGCUAAGGCAGAGAGAGAAGUUUUGAUAUUUUUUGUAAGAAUUAAAGAAAUAGGUCAAUUUUAAUAGCAUUACAGCUCCCAUUAACAAACAGUGUAAUUUUUAUUUUAAUGGCAAUAAAGCAAUUGCUACUAAUUUGCUUGAACAUUUGGCGGUAAUAAUAUUCCCUCUAAAUGUCAUACCAAAUAAGGGUUUGAGCGACCUCAAUAGAGGAACUCCUCGCCAUCGCUAUCUCCGGCGAACUCGUUGAAUUUCUCCGGUGAAAAUGACUGGUAAGUUCCUCUAUUUAUGUUUCCUGAUUCAAUUGUUAGGGUCCCAAAAUCAGUAAUAAUCUAGCGCCUUACUUCUGAGAGCAAAAUCGUGGAACAAAAUUGGUGAAUGAAAUCGACAGUAACUAUGAUCCAAGUUUUUUUUUUGAUUGAUUUGAGAUAACAGAAAAAGAAAAUAAAGCUUGUGCCUAACCUGUUUGAGAAAAUGCCACACAGACUACUUUUUACAUUAGAGAAUACCUUUACAUACUUCUCAAGAAAUAAAUUACUCCUACAAUAUUAGUUAUGGAAGCUUCAGUGUAUCAAGCACAUAUUGCUAUUUCUUUUGGCCUGAAAUGAGUAGUUUAUGUAAGGCCUGAUGUGGCCUGAAACAUCAAGGAAUCUGCCAAAAGAACUGGUGAAUGGUGAGCAUGCGAAACAAAAGCUGGUUAUAUUUCAGUGUAGCAUGAGUAGUCUGAUCCUUAUUCUAUGUGUCAGCUAGGUUUCAGCUACUGGUCUAUCGUUUAUUUGCUUUUGAAAUUUAUGUCCGUUGUGAGAACUAGUUCUUUUAGUUGCUAUAUAGAGUCUUGCCUUGCUGUGCUAUCACUCGCUUCUUGCUUUAAGCUGCAUAUACGUCAACAUUUUCAGCAUUAUCCUGUAUUCAAAUAUACAUUUUGAAACAGAGUUUUAAUUGCAUUUCUUUGGGAGACAUCACAAAAGAGGAUACGUUGUUAUGAUUUUAGAUGCAAUUUAUAUGUCAUCUCAUUUUAAGCUUAAUUAAGAAGAGACCGAUAACGGUGCUGAUAGUGGUGCCGAUGAUGAUGCAGAUGCAGAUGAAGAUGAAGACCCUGGAGAAAUUGAGCAAGUGAUUUGUCUUCUUCCUCAGAUGGAGCGCAUGAUCAUUAUCGCCUAGAAGGAUUGAUGGAGAGCCCUUCAGUGGAUGCCGGCGGAGACUGUUUCUCACCAAUGCUAUUGAAUGCUACUUCUGUCAAUAUAGAGGUUUACUACAACAAAGCGGUGAACUACACAUUGAUGGUAACAUUUAUUGCUUUCCUGCAAGUGCUCCUUCUGAUUCGACAAAUGGAACAUAGCAACACCCAUCAGGAUACAGGUUGGCAAGUUUGAUCAGCAUAUGUUGUCUUGGUAAUCCCAGCUAGUACAAAUACAUUUGCAGACUUCUCUGUUAGCUAGUCAUGCCUAGUGAUCAGGAACUUAAACAAGGAUACUCGGCUCAAGGUCACACAAAAGCUGCCAAGAAUAUCUCAUUGUAAUUAGGGGAGCAGUAGAUCAGAAAUAAACCAGCCACUAAGCCUUUGGCCAUAGUUUCUCUAGGGAGGAAAAAAUAGUGGCUCAAUUUCCUUGUUUCUCCAUCGUUCGUCGCAUUCUUUCUGUUUUGAUAGUGAUAAUUCAUACUUUAUGAUCGCGAGAAGAUCAGACAGUGAUUGUCUUGAGUUUGAUUGUUCUUGUUUAAAGUGAAUAAAGUUGCUUUAAGUUUGAUAAUUAUUCUAGUUCUAGUAAUAACCAGCUUCCAAAUGAUUGCACUUCUGAAUU